UGGGGAAUAUUGCACAAUGGGGGAAACCCUGAUGCAGCGACGCCGCGUGAGGGAUGACGGCCUUCGGGUUGUAAACCUCUUUCAGUAGGGAAGAAGCCUUCGGGUGACGGUACCUGCAGAAGAAGUACCGGCUAACUACGUGCCAGCACCCGCGGUAAUACGUAGGGUACAAGCGUUGUCCGGAAUUAUUGGGCGUAAAGAGCUCGUAGGCGGUUCGUCGCGUCUGCUGUGGAAACGCAAGGCUCAACCUUGCGCGUGCAGUGGGUACGGGCGGACUAGAGUGCAGUAGGGGAGUCUGGAAUUCCUGGUGUAGCGGUGAAAUGCGCAGAUAUCAGGAGGAACACCGGUGGCGAAGGCGGGACUCUGGGCUGUAACUGACGCUGAGGAGCGAAAGCAUGGGGAGCGAACAGG
rnacentral:rRNA from 1 species